rnacentral:misc_RNA from 1 species
GAUGAAGAACGCAGCGAAAUGCGAUAAGUAGUUUGAAUUGCAGAAUUCAGUGAAUCAUCGAAUCUUUGAACGCACAUUGCGCCCUUUGGUAUUCCAAAGGGCAUGCCUGUUCGAGCGUCAUUUGUACCCUCAAGCUUUGCUUGGUGUUGGGCGUCUUGUCUCCAGUUCGCUGGAGACUCGCCUUAAAGUAAUUGGCAGCCGGCCUACUGGUUUCGGAGCGCAGCACAAGUCGCGCUCUCUUCCAGCCAAGGUCAGCAUCCACAAAGCCUUUUUUCAACUUUUGACCUCGGAUCAGGUAGGGAUACCCGCUGAACUUAAGCAUAUCAAUAAGCGGAGGA